UCCACAGCAACAGGUGCCUGGACCAUGGACCCAUCGACGCACCAUAAACCAGCCAAUCAGCGAGUCUCGGCUCACCGCAACGCAUCGCGAGCCCGAUCCACGUGCGCGGUCCAGGGCUCAUGAGGUGAGAGAAGAAGGUCCGAAGGGCAACCUGGUAACUUCACAUCACUCGAUGGUCCGAUCUUCUCUGAUCAAGAUCCAACGCUCCACAUUUUUGCGCCAUCGGACGGCCACCAUCGCAGCCGGUCAAGAUCCAACCGUAAUCAAGGCAAUUGCAAGAAUCAAUAAACACUAGGACAACACGGGAUCCUUCUACAGCGCGAUCCAACGAACGAAAUCUUCCAGCGCCU
rnacentral:lncRNA from 1 species